GUUAACACAUUAGGAACGAAACCAUGCCGGGCUGUAAAAAGCCAUAAGCCACAAGUAAUCAUCGCCUAACAACUAACAACUUCCACUCGUGAAAGUUGGGACACAAACUAAGAUUAGAUACCUUACUAUGCCCAACCAUAACCCAACAAUCAAAUAACUCAUUGUUCGCCAAAUAACUACGAGUAUAAACUUAAAAUUUAAAAGACUUGACGGUACCUCACAACAACCUAGAGGAGCCUGUCUAAUAACCGAUACCCCACGAUUAAACCCAACCCCUCCUAGCCACAGUCUAUAUACCGCCGUCGCCAGCCUACCUUGUAAAAGAAACAAAGUAAGCCCAAUAGUAACACACUAGCACGACAGGUCGAGGUGUAACUUAUGGGGGGGCCAAGAUGGGCUACAUUUUCUAUUACAGAAAAUACGAAUAGACUAUGAAACAAGAAACUGAAGGCGGAUUUAGCAGUAAACUAAGAAUAAAACACCUAGUCGAAACCAACGCAAUGAGGUGCGUACACACCGCCCGUCAUCCCUGCCAACCACCACAAACAAUACAUAAUACACUAUUAACCAUAAAACAGGGCAAGUCGUAACA
rnacentral:rRNA from 1 species